AUACCAUGAUGUGGAAACUUACGAAGCAAUUCCUUGAAUUUUUACCAUUCCUCAUAUAAAGACUCGUCAUUCAACUACUGAAAAGUGGUUAUCUCAUUUUGUAACUUU
rfam:Gossypium raimondii Chr02_contig_1085, whole genome shotgun sequence.